UGAAUUGUAAUAUAACAUAGUUGGAAAUCAUGGAAAGAUGCUUAAAUUAAAUACUUCUCUAUUUAGGAGGGGUUAAUAUGAUAAUUCAUAAUUAAAAAGGGGUUAUUAGGGUUUUAACCCAAAACACACCUUCUGGUGCGUACCUGGGAUCGAUCGAACAAGGGGAGCAAGGUGAAAAACCCUUGUUCUUGCUAACUCCCUCAAUUGACCAAGGAAUUCAAGUCUAAUCUGUUGCAUGUCUCAAGUUCUUCGAUUAUCUAUACAUACAUAGUGAUAUGGCACGAAGAAGGAAGAAGGCGCAAGUCACUCGAAGGCAUAAGUAUCUCAAGAUCGAGGAUGGAAAUCUCAGCAGUUGAUUCAAGUAUGGAUGGCAAACAGGGUAGGAGGAAACGAUGAGGCAAACAUGAAUGUGAACACUAAAGGUAAGUGAUCUUGCAAUCACUUCAAAUUUAUCUACAUGAAGGUGUAUAUAUGUUUACAUAUUCGAAAUCAAGGUGAAAUGCGUAAAUAAAUUAGAAAUGUUAUGGUAUGUUUCGUUGAAAUUGCUG
rnacentral:lncRNA from 1 species